ACAAUUGCAAGUCAACUCCAGCUAAAGCCAAGUCCAGUACUCCAUGGGUCAAAAAUCAAGGAAAAUGUGAGAUGGUUAAGUUGUUGGAAGAAUGAUCAGCUUCUGCAGCUUCUUGACUUUUUUUUUUUCUGAUGUCAUUUUCUACAUGUUUUCAUUGAUCUUAACUCAGUUUACUUACUUGUAUUUUCUAGAAUCCUGAAGAUAUUUAGCAGGUUGAGAGGAGACAAAAUAAAAGCAAAGAGAUAUCCAAACAUGAUAGGAAACCUGGAACCAUUUAUACUUCUUUCAAAGCAUCUCUUGGGCCAAGGUUUUCAGCUCCAGAGGACUGAAUGUUACUCCUCCCACGGAAGGAGAUGACACGGAGCUGGUUCUGGUACAUAGCCCACAGGGAGAAGCAUACUGCAUUCUGUUCCAUUAUAAUUUGGGCACUUUUUUCUUCAGCCAGCACUCUCUGUCACCUAAGUUAACACAUACAUCUACUUGUCCAGAUCUUUCGUCUCUGUCAUAUAUGGUUCCCAAUGAACCAUUAGCAAAUAUAGGUUGCCAAAGAGACAUGUGGGAAAAGGACUUUACACAUCUUAGAUGGCGCCUAAAAGUUAAUUCUCUCAUUUUAUUUCCCUUUAAUUUUUAAGGCUCUAUUGCUUUCCCUGUUUUUUCUUGGUCACAUGGUAAAUGGGUCAGAAUCAGAAGGGCCAGUAAAUUAUAUUGGCUACUGUAGAGAUCCCAUUCCCUUGAAGUAUACUUUAAUGAGGAAUACAGAUGAAGAUAAAAAGAUAGAAACAAAUACCAUGAUAUUCGUGGAAUUAAAAACUGGUUUCACACAGAUAAACCAGAUUUAUGGAGAGAGAUGUUUUCUUAUUAACUUCUCUCAAGUGGAGCCUUCCAAAUAUCUGUGAUUUUCUGAUAUUUUGCAAGGAACCCCUAAAAGUUUUUUUAACCUACAUUAGUAAAACUUAGUUAAAAAAAAAAAGAUAAUAAAACAUCCCUAUAAAUAUGAUGUUUGACAUCAUCUGACCCUGACUGGAUGAUCCUGACUGGAUGCUAGGCAAGUGCCCAGGUCCUCCAGUCGGUCAUCUAGACAUCUUAGUUCUCACUGGCUGAGAGAGGUCAUGUUUUAUUACAUAAGCAUGAGUGUUAUAUGGAAGGAGACAUAAGAAUUACCACAUGCAUUUAAAGUGCUUUCCAUUCAAAGGUCUUAAAACCAUAGUGAGAGUAAAUUGGAUGGCUUCGUCUUGCUUUUUCAGAUAUUAAAAAAAAAAAAAAAAGGAUAGUACUGGCUGGGCGCCCUGGCUCAUGUUUGUAAUCCCAGCACUUUGGGAGGCCAAGGCAGGUGGAUCACGAGGUCAGGAGAUCGAGACCAUCCUGGCUAACACAGUGAAACCCUGUCUCUUCUAAAAAUACAUAAAAUUAGCCAGGUGUGGUGGUGGCCACCUGUAGUCCCAGCUACUUGGGAGGCUGAGGCAGGAGAAUGGUGUGAACCCAAGAGGCAGAGCUUGCAGUGAGCCGAGAUUGUGCCACUGCACUCCAGCCUGGAUGACAGAGGGAGACUCCGUCUCAAAAAAAAAAAAAAAAAA
ensembl:lncRNA